rnacentral:rRNA from 1 species
AUUGAACGCUAGCGGCAUGCCUAACACAUGCAAGUCGAACGGCAGCAUGGUGCAGUUUACUGUACUGAUGGCGAGUGGCGGACGGGUGAGUAACGCGUAGGAAUACACCUUUAGGACUGGGACAACUUGUGGAAACGCGAGCUAAUACCGGAUAAUAUCUGAGGAUAAAAGCUGGGGACCUUAGGGCCUGGCGUCUAGAGAAUAGCCUGCGUCUGAUUAGCUAGUUGGUGGGGUAAGGGCCUACCAAGGCGACGAUCGGUAGCUGGUCUGAGAGGAUGGACAGCCACACUGGGACUGAGACACGGCCCAGACUCCUACGGGAGGCAGUAGUGGGGAAUUUUGGACAAUGGGCGCAAGCCUGAUCCAGCCAUGCCGCGUGCAGGAUGAAGGCCUUCGGGUUGUAAACUGCUUUUGUACGGAACGAAAAGACUCUGGUUAAUACCUGGGGUCCAUGACGGUACCGUAAGAAUGAGCACCGGCUAACUACGUGCCAGCAGCCGCGGUAA